GAUGAACGCUGGCGGCGUGCCUAAUACAUGCAAGUCGAACGCAUAGCGAAAGGUGCUUGCACCUUUCAAGUGAGUGGCGAACGGGUGAGUAACACGUGGACAACCUGCCUCAAGGCUGGGGAUAACAUUUGGAAACAGAUGCUAAUACCGAAUAAAACUUAGUGUCGCAUGACACAAAGUUAAAAGGCGCUUCGGCGUCACCUAGAGAUGGAUCCGCGGUGCAUUAGUUAGUUGGUGGGGUAAAGGCCUACCAAGACAAUGAUGCAUAGCCGAGUUGAGAGACUGAUCGGCCACAUUGGGACUGAGACACGGCCCAAACUCCUACGGGAGGCUGCAGUAGGGAAUCUUCAACAAUGGGCGAAAGCCUGAUGGAGCAACGCCGCGUGUGUGAUGAAGGCUUUCGGGUCGUAAAGCACUGUUGUAUGGGAAGAACAGCUAGAAUAGGAAAUGAUUUUAGUUUGACGGUACCAUACCAGAAAGGGACGGCUAAAUACGUG
rnacentral:rRNA from 1 species